AGUGUUAAUAAUGGCAUUAGAAUACAGCUAGUAGCAGGCUAUAAGAGAUGUAUAAUAAGAACAUUAAUAAAAGCCUCAUGAGUAUCUUAUAAUUCUUCAUAAUAGCAUUACAAACACCCAUAACCCACCCAUUAUGUCUUUGCCAUGCCUUUAUUAAUCUUUUGUUUGCUUAUUGAUAUUAAAAUAUACUUUAUUGCUAAUCUAUUAUAAGUUAACUAAGCACUUGUUAACAGUUAACUAUGUUUUUUGCAGCUAAAGGGAUCUAAAGUGAGAACAAUGCCUUAUUACUUGUUAAUUAAUGGUUAUUACAAGGACCUUAAUAUAAAGCGUUACCAAAAAUCUUCCUAACUAACAAGUUUAAAUUGUUCAAUAAAGCCCUUUUUUGCUGUAAUUUGAUUACACUCUGUAUUUACUCCAUAAUUUUGUUUAGUCUUUUAUUUGCAUGUUUCACUUCUAACUCUGACAUCUUCAUUACAGAGACGACACAAGAACAGGAGCAGCUGCCUGUGAAACAAACUUCUCUUUGGACCCAGAUGACACGUACACCGGCCUUCAGCAGCCUGUCGGCGAUUUCUACGAAACUAUGUCCUCAGUGCACCAUCAACACGACAACAAGAGAAAUUUAGCCAGUAGAAAUAAACCUAUUGCACAUCUGGAUGAUCAGGGGAUGGAUGCAUGUGAGCAUGAUAUCUAUGAAAACGUUUAACCAACAAUCCAGAUAGCAUGACUGUAUAAAUGUAUAAUAUGACUUUACUAACUUGUGUAAAUGCUGCAUCACAUAAUGUCUUAAUACUCUUGUAGGAUCACAAACAGAUUUUUUUAUUGACAGCUGAGACCUUAUUUUUCUUUUUAAUUCUUAUAAUUAUUCAUGCAUGUGUCUCUUUAAUCAUACAAUUGCUUACUGGAAUUUAUCAAAUAAAAUCCACUUCGUUAAAUGUUAUAAUUGGGUAGUUUAUAUUCCAAUUUAAAAAUGCGCAAAAGCAAAAAAAAAUAUUAACUGGCUGUGCUAAAACUGUAUUUUUUACAAUUUAAGAAAUCUUAAUUGCACCAAAUUGCAGAGGGAGAUGGAUGUUUUUUUAGGCCUGGCUGGCUGCUUCAAGUGCAGCCUUUUGGGGGUUAUUUUGGGUUAUUUCUCUGUUUAGCAAUGCCAAAAAAAAUGUCUUUGUUCAGGAAAAUAAUGUUUUUAAAGUAAAUCGAGCUCUGCUAGGAUCUGAUUGCUUUAAAGUCUGUAAAAAGAACUCAAUUGGUGCUUUGGUUUUAACAAAGAAACGGACUAUAACAGGCAUUUGCUACCUUGUCAAUCUACUUUUCUGCUACAUAAUUCUAUUGCCAAUAAAGUAUCUUGACCUCAAAGUUGCACUUCCUUUCUAGACACUAUAGACAUCUGCCUCAAGACUAGUUUGAGGUUCGUCCGCCCCCAUUAAGUAUAUUUACUCACUGCAACACUGUUGCUCUCUAUCAGUAUUUAUAGACUUUGUAUACUUUUUCUGCCACUUUGCUUGCGUCUUGUAGAUACAGGAGCUUUACUUUACAUAUAAUAUAUGCAAAUUAGUGUUUGCAAGUAAUUAGAAUAACCAGAACAAGUUUCCUGACUGUGAGUAUUGUCUGCUGUGUCGAUAUGGAGACAACUUUUUACACAAAUUCGACUCUUCCCUUCAGCAUCACUAUGGAAGGUAAUAUUAGAUUUACUUGUAAUUCACAUUAAUGCCUUUCUCUGAUACUUUGUCUUAAAAUGGUCAUUUUCAACUGACUCAGUGUAUUGCCUUCGCUUGCCUGAAUCUCAAUGUUUCUCUACAAAAACAGCAAAUGCCAAUUUUGUUACCAAUUCUGACACGGAUGACAGCCAUUCAACACACACACAAAUGCUCUAUCUGGCUGUUUUGGUCGGAGGAGCUGUAGCCGUCUUUAUUAUUGGAGUUUUCUUUGGGGUUUUCUGCAGGAGCAUAUGUGACGGGUGAGAGACAUUUAUAAUUUUAAUUUUAAAAAAUUGUUCAAAUUUCCAUUUAUGUCCAUAUGUUGUUCUAACUCUGACAACUUUUCUAAUUUAAAGCUUUUCAACCACAUCUGGAGGAUCUGUACGUCAAACUCCUGGCUCUUUGGAUGAAGAAGCUCCAGAUGAGACCUACACAAGCCUCCAGCAACCAGCGAGUGAUCUCUACCAAACGAUCUCAAAUUCAGCAAAUAACGCAGUGGCGGUCCGCCUUGAUAAUCGAGAAGUAGAUGCAAGAGACUAUGAAAUCAUGAAACCACAAACCAAAUAGCAAGACAGAAAAAUGUAUCAUGUAUUGCAAUUUCUGACUUAUUGGGACAAAAACAUUCCUGCAAUAAUAUCUUGUUUUAUUCAUGUAGAUGUAAAAGCAACAGUCAUCCUUUAGACGUGUUUAUUAAAAGAGUUAGCUUGUAUAUAAAUGCUGCAUCACAUCGUGUUUUACUCCCGUUGUAAAAUCAUUUUAAAGUCAUUAUAAUUAUUUUGUUGCACUCUGGUUGUUUGUUUAGGCCUUCUCAGGGGUUUCAAGUAGCCUUUUAUUUUUUUACACACAUACCAUGUCAUGUAUCAUUCACAGAAUUGUCAUCAAGGAAGUUGUGGCUUUUUGUUAAUAUCAUAAGUAU